rnacentral:rRNA from 1 species
GAUGAACGCUGGCGGCGUGCCUAAUACAUGCAAGUCGAGCGAACAGAUAAGGAGCUUGCUCCUUUGACGUUAGCGGCGGACGGGUGAGUAACACGUGGGUAACUUACCUAUAAGACUGGAAUAACUCCGGGAAACCGGGGCUAAUGCCGGAUAACAUGUUGAACCGCAUGGUUCUACAGUGAAAGGCGGCUUUGCUGUCACUUAUAGAUGGACCCGCGCCGUAUUAGCUAGUUGGUGAGGUAACGGCUCACCAAGGCAACGAUACGUAGCCGACCUGAGAGGGUGAUCGGCCACACUGGAACUGAGACACGGUCCAGACUCCUAAGGGAGGCAGCAGUAGGGAAUCUUCCGCAAAGGGCGAAAGCCUGACGGAGCAACGCCGCGUGAGUGAUGAAGGUCUUCGGAUCGUAAAACUCUGUUAUUAGGGAAGAACAAAUGCGUAAGUAACUGUGCGCGUCUUGACGGUACCUAAUCAGAAAGCCACGGCUAACUACGUG